GACGAGCGCUGGCGGCGUGCUUAACACAUGCAAGUCGAACGGAAAGGCCCUGCUUUUGUGGGGUGCUCGAGUGGCGAACGGGUGAGUAACACGUGAGUAACCUGCCCUUGACUUUGGGAUAACUUCAGGAAACUGGGGCUAAUACCGGAUAGGAGCUCCUGCUGCAUGGUGGGGGUUGGAAAGUUUGGGCGGUUUGGGGUGGACGCGCGGCUUAUCAGCUUGUUGGUGGGGUAGUGGCUUACCAAGGCGUUGACGGGUGGCCGGCCUGAGGGGGUGACCGGCCACAUUGGGCCUGGGAUACGGCCCAGACUCCUACGGGGGCCAGCAGUGGGGAAUAUUGCACAAUGGGCGGAGGCCUGAUGCAGCAACGCCGCGUGCGGGAUGACGGCCUUCGGUUUGUAAACCGCUUUCGCCUGUGACGAAGCGUGAGUGACGGUAAUGGGUAAAGAAGCACCGGCUAACUACGUG
rnacentral:rRNA from 1 species